rnacentral:RNase_P_RNA from 1 species
GAAGCUGACCAGACAGUCGCCGCUUCGUCGUCGUCCUUUCGGGGAGACGGGCGGAGGGGAGGAAAGUCCGGGGCUCCAUAGGGCAGGGUGCCAGGUAACGCCUGGGGGGGAAACCCACGACCAGUGCAACAGAGAGCAAACCGCCGAUGGCCCACGUAAGUGGGAUCAGGUAAGGGGUGAAAGGGUGCGGUAAGAGCGCACCGCGCGGCUGGUAACAGUCCGUGGCACGGUAAACUCCACCCGGAGCAAGGCCAAAUAGGGGUUCAUAAGGUACGGCCCGUACUGAACCCGGGUAGGCUGCUUGAGCCAGUGAGCGAUUGCUGGCCUAGAUGAAUGACUGUCCACGACAGAACCCGGCUUAUCGGUCAGUUUCACCU